UACGUAGGGUGCGAGCGUUGUCCGGAAUUAUUGGGCGUAAAGAGCUCGUAGGCGGUGUGUCACGUCGGCCGUGAAAACCUGCAGCUUAACUGUGGGCGUGCGGUCGAUACGGGCAUCACUGGAGUUCGGCAGGGGAGACUGGAAUUCCUGGUGUAGCGGUGAAAUGCGCAGAUAUCCGGAGGAACACCGGUGGCGAAGGCGGGUCUCUGGGCAGUAACUGACGCUGAGGAGCGAAAGCGUGGGGAGCGAACAGG
rnacentral:rRNA from 1 species